AGGGAGCUGAACUGCAUUUCCUGGGAUGAAGCAGGAGGGGAAGGCAGUGCCGCUUGUUUGCAGGUAUGUCCCUUUGAUGUCUGACCCUGGCAGUUGCUACCUGAAAAUAUUCACUGCGGAUUGGAAACCAUCAAGAAGCGACAACCAAACAGUGGCCCACAGUAGCAUAUCAUUUCCAAAGUUGCACAAAGUAUUCCCAAUGCUUAGGGCUUUGUAUAAUACUUCUAGCAACAACAACUUUCUUGAAUACCAGAGAACAGAGCAAUGGCAUUUAAAAUCUAACUGUGGGGCCUCUUUCAUAGCUAGGCAUUUAGAGUUUGGUACAAAGAUCCUCUUUCUGGGAUUAGGAGCAGGAGGGCUGAAGGAGCAAUGUGACCGAUCUUUGAUAUAGCCAGGAGGAUGGGAAAUUUCCGAUGUAGUUGCCGAGUCCCACGAAACCAUCCUAUGGGUCCUGGCAGCUCCUCCUGGAGCAAGUCAUAGAAGAAAAGAGCACUUCUCUUCUUCAAGCUACAGUGCUCUGACGGGUGCCCCGUCACUGGUGUUCCGCACAGGCCCAACGGCUGUGCCAGGUGUGCCCAGCGGGGAGAAAUCAGUGGUGGUCAAUCAGCAUCUGAAGGAAAGCCUUUCUCUUUCACUGGCCCACGUGGCGGAGGAUUCGGGAACUCGGUGUUUCCUGGAGGCUGUCUGGACCAAGUGGAAGAUGACUGUCAGAGGGUGCAGCUCAGCAGUGUGCCAGUCCGUGUGAGUGGCAAGGUGUGCUUCCUUAUCAGCAGGGCUCUAUGCUAAUGUAACUGUCACAUGAAAUACUUGCUGCGGUGGCUCACUUAAUGACUGUCAUAAAAGUGUGGCAAUAUCUGGCAUUUUAAGUGUGUGUGGUGUCUAAUGUAAGGCUUGCUAUUGUAAAUAGGCCACACAUUUAGAACUAAUUACAUGCAAGCUAUGAUAGCAGGUUUAUUUUUUACAGCUAUCUGAGCUGUGAUCAGCACUUGUAAUCACAAAGCAAAGGAGAAAUAAACAGUGACAGCAACACCUUCAUGUUGAAAGCAAAGUCUUGUCCUGGCGUGUUAUGAAGUACUAAGUAUUUUUCAAUAGAAAGUGAAAAUGAUUAGUCAGAAGCAGAUAUAAUUACGAAAGAGCCUGGAUCGGGCUUUUAUACUGUGUUUACAUCCACACGCAUUGUUUUUUCUUUAAAGCUUUAUCUCAGUCAGUAAGUACCCCAGAUGCUAUAAUUUUGAAGUAAUACACAUAUUUUUCACUUCCUUUGAGGAUCAAGGCAGAGGAAGUUGCUGUCUUUUUGAGCCUUGGUGAUGCGUUGUUCUUUGCCUGUGAUUUUUUUGGUUGAAGCAGAGUUAGAAAUUGGUUAUUACAUUAAAGGAGACUUUAGUCUUACUAGCUCAGUAAGGUCUCUUACGUGUCCUGCAAUCCUGAGACUUUUCCAAAGCCAUUCCCCAUGCUAGAAAUAAGAAAUCAGAGAUUUCUGGAAAUGGUUAUAGACCCAGGUAGUCAGUGGUCUCCCUUAAGGCCAGGGAUGGGGUUGGAGGCAAGAGGGAAAAACAAAUCCCCGCCACACGCACACAAAAUGUUACAGGUAUAUGCUUGUAUCCCCCUGGGCAGGGGUUCUGGAACUUUCUUCAGAACCUGAGAAGGAAUAUGAAGCAUUAGAAGUUUGGAGCUGAUUUAGGCAUGGGAAGCCAUGAACAAGUGGAGACCAUCCGGUGUCUGCCGUCUCGAGGAUGUCAAACCAACGCAGCUUGGAGCAGCGGAGCAGGAAUCUGAGACAACUGCUCUCAUCUUUAGGAGGCUCCUGACUUUAGGGGUCCUUCUGAGGACCUGGGAGGAGCUGCAGUUCCCGUUGUCUCAAGCCCGGUGCUCGUAUCCAGCAGCGCGUCCCCCUCUCUUUGGUCCAGGGUCCAGCCUGGGAGACCGGAGCCUCCGUGGCUGUGUGGAGGAUCACUCUCCAGCCCAGUGGCAGUCACAGAGCUGCUGUGUGGGGUCACGCCUUGGGCUCAGGCAGUUGGGGACCACAUCCAAAGGUUAAGGUGUGCAAGGCAGGUGCAGGAGACAAGCCUGGGGCUCUGAGACAGGCUGGUGGGAAAGGCCCCUGCAACUGGCGGAGGGUGGACCAGGGCUUGAUCCCUUGGCCUGCUUGUGUAUCCUCGAAUCCACGUUCUUUCCUUCUCGCAGGUCUUCUCCCCUUUCCGCUUGCUCCUGCUGUGGAGGCUGCCCAGCUAAAUACAGGUGCUCAACACCCAGGACCUCCCUAAUGCACUUGUCUGCCCGCCUUUAUCUGUUUCUUUCUUAUACAGGUCUGUUCUCUGUCUGUCUCUCCUUUCCCUCUAGUCCCUAUUUUUACUCUAAUAUCAAUAUCGGAAGCUGGAUCUCUCCUUAUUUAUUUUUAAUCUUUGAAAUCUUCCUAUCUUUUUCUUACCAAAUGCAGUGCGUUCUCUUGUUCUUCUGGCAAAUUCCCUCUCUCUCGCUCUCGCUCUCACUCUUGCUCUUGCUCUGUGUACCCCUCCAUUCUGUCCCUGCUUCCUUCCUUCUUCCCUUCCUUCCUCUUUCUUAUGCUUUCAUUCCUGAGAGGGAGCAGGUAGAAUGGGUAACCUUAGGAUCUUUGCUCUUUAAAAAUGAUCUAACAAUUCUGAGCACAAAGGGUCCUUCUUUAGCAUAAUUUCUGAAAUAUCCUUGGGUGGGGCAGGGGUGAUGAGAAGGGAAUGGCCAACGGAAACCCCACCUGGGAGAGAGAGGACUCUCCCUCACCCCAAAACCUUCUUGCAAAACAGAGUGCAGACACCCUGUGCACCCAGCUGGGUCUUCAGCCAAAGGUCCAGCUCAGGGAGGCUCUGGGUGUCGCAUGAGUUCUCUGAGACCCUCCAUGUGACCCAGCAGUGGAUCUCAUUGCUUGAGUGACUUCAUGCAUGCUGCACGGUGUAUUUCUCUGACACUGUUUUUGAGGUUGAACUUUUUUUUAAAUCUGCACUGCUACUGAAAGAUCAGCGGUGUCUUUCUAGCUCAAUGGAGUCCCUAAUUAGACUUUCAGUUAAAUUCAGGUCCAUCUCCCCUGCUGACCUCCCUGUCUUAGCCUUCAUUCCUCAAAGGGAUCUCACGGUUUCCUGUGUGCUGUGCUGCUGGUCUUCUCUCUGUCCGGCUUGUCUGCUGAACGCCUCUCCCUCUCAGGGCCAUCUCCUCUUCAAUCCUCCACCAAGACAAAGGACUUUCUUCCCUCAGGUUCUGGGCUUUCACAGCCUCUGACCUGUGUUUCCGGUCUGCCUUGACUUUGACCUUCAGCCAGUGCAUUCCUCAGGAGAGCAAUCUGUGGGCAGGGACAAGGUCUUCUUGAUCUUCCCUGUGUUAUAUCUUAGGACUAUACUUUAGUAAGUGGUUGCUGAACUGGCUUACAGAGUGAUCAAAAAGAGACAUCAAUAAUUUUCUGAUUAUUUUUCAUGCUUAAAAAAUACUUCUUUGAUAACUGUAGUCAUGGUCACAAUAAUGAUUUGUCUGUUUCACAAGGAGCAUUAUGGGUUUGGGCUUCCCACUAACCCUGUAAAGGGUGCAUUAGCUCUACUUCCUAAAGGAGGCUGCGUUCUCAUGAUGGACCCAGCUCUUUGACCUCCAAAAGACCUGCUGUUUCCACUUGGGUCGGAGAUUUCGCACGGGAAGGGAAGUCCAGUCCAGGAAGCAUGUUCUCAUGGUCUCUUCUUCCCUGCACCACGCAUACCCCCAUGACUCUCAGGAAGUCACCAUAAAUGGGUUAGUCAGGGGCUGGCGUUGUGCAGUGUGUUAAGCUGCCACUGGGGACACCUGUAUCACAUAUCAGAGUGCCUGGGAUAGAUUCCUAGAUGCUCUGCUUCCCAUCCAGCUCUCUGUUAAUGCACCUGGGAGGCCGCAGUGAUGGCUCAGGCACUUGGGUGCCCGAUCUGCAUGGGGUUCUGGGUUCCUGGCUCAUGUUGGCCCAGUCUGGCUGUUGCAGGCAUAUGGGGAGUAGACAGAAGGUUUUGUGUCUCUCCCUUUCUCUUCUUCAUUUUGCAUUUCAAAUAAAUGAGUCUUCAAAAGAUGGGGUGGGUAUUUAAGGGGACUUAAAAUAGUUGUGAAAAAAGGGGAAUUCAAAGUUUAUUUUGGUGCAAACAUUUUUGAAAUCCAUAAUCCACGUGUGUGUGUGUGUGUGUGUGUGUGUAAUACACAUUUCCAAGAACUUUUUGAAGACCCCUUGUAUUACUUCAUUCCUUUAGUGGAGAAGUGUCGUCAUUGGUACCUUUGUCCUAGACCCUGGGCCCUGUGGCUGGUGCUAGCUCGGGCUGAGACAGUGUCCUGGCCAUUUGCUAGGAGAGAUCACAGCCCCUGUUUGGACACAGCUGCCACCCUCAGCCUGCUUUGAGGCAGAAAUCUGCUUUGAUCUGUGUGCGGGCCUGGGAGGUUACGGCCCUAAUUAAUUCAAGCAUAACAAUCUGAAUUUCGUUUUCAUUCAGAGAAAAGCAUAAUCAUUUCAAAGCUCUCGUAAUGCCGGAAUUCUUAAAAAUCCAAUUGAAUUUUAUUUUCAUAAAUCUGCUCAGGGUGAUCUCUGGACAGCAUGGAAACAAAAAGAUAAUGAAAAAUGUUUCCUUUAAAUCGCUGAAAAUUAUUUCUGUUAGAAGAGGGGUUCUUGUCAUAAGGCAUGACUUUGGAAGAAAAGAGCGACAAUUUAUAAUAAGCAGAGGAGUGUCAACAAACUCGUCCUGAGAAUCCAGGGUUUGUCAUGUGCGUUCACCGGCUUGCUAAUCCACCCCGUUCUAUGGAAAUGUCACAUGAAUUGAAGAAAAAUAAAAGUGUGAGGGAGCCCAUGGAUAUGAAAGCACUUUGUAAACAGCACCGUGCUUUGUAAAUGUGACAUAUUAUUACAGCCUGACUUCUGCAGUUCCCUUCCCCAUGGUUAGAAAUUAUUAGAGGUCCCCUGGCUCCUGUCAGACUCCUUUUUAAUGAUCUUUAAGCCUCAUUCCUAAAGGCAGGGCAGUGAUACUGGCAGGAAAAGUGCUUAAUAAUUUGUUUAUGGUAAAAUGCUAUCCUAAUUAGUAGAUCUCAUUAAUUUCAAUAAGGCAUCACUCCAGCCCUGCCCUCCCCCCCACCCCAGUCAGUCAGCCGGCAAGUCCCGUCGCCUUUCCCUAUGAGACCCACCUCGUCCUAUUUGCUUUGUCCUCAUUGCCUCCACCUGAGUUUGUGACCACUUGCGUCACACCUGGGCAGCCUCCACUCGUGCCCACGGGCAGUUCCCGCUCCAUGGCAGCCAGAGGAGUCUUUCGGAAAUGUGUUGCGUCAGCCCAGCUCCACACCUUGGGUCCCAUGGGCCCCAGCCCGGCUUGCUCUCCACCUCUUCUUAUGCCAUCUCUGUCUCCCACACUGACCUCAUUUUCCAAUCCUUUAAGGAUUCGGAACUCCUUUCUGCCUUAGGGUUGGCCUUUGCUGUUCCUUCUACCUGGAAUGCUGUUCCCAGGAGCGCUCCGUGAACCUGCUGCUCAUCUGCCCCCCUUCACCGCCAGCGUUUCUUCCUGGGAAGGCCUGCCCUAGCCAUCUCGCGAGAGCGGCCUGUCCACUCCGCCAGGCUCCUUAACCUUUGUUCCAGCUCUGACUUCUCAAGUCGGUCUCACUUGUGUAGCUGUGUAUCUAUUGUUCAUUUUUUCCUAAUCAAAUAUAGAGUCUUUGCAGGCAGAAACUCUCCGUAAUUGCUUGUGAUGCUUGAAAUCCUCUAUUUUCAUUCAAAUUUUACUAAAGGGAAAACUACAGAACAUAGAUUAUGUAUUUUUGUAAAAAAAUUAAUGGUUUCUUGGGAAAAACCUAAUACCCAAACUGACAGGUUGAAGAUUAUUCUUUUCCCAAGUUCUAUUUGUUUUUUUGCAGGGUGCAUCCCUCAUGGUAAAGUGUUCAUUCUACAGAUUACUUCUUGUGCACCUUCUGUGUGCCAAGGCAUUGGCUCUAGAGAGCCCAUGGUGACAGACAGAUAAUAUCCAUUCUCUGGGAAAAGCUGGUUAACAAUUUCCCCUAUGUAGCAAUUUAGGAUGAACACAUCUGCCACCUCCACGGAGCCUCAGGGAAGUCAGGAAGUAAUGGUGUGUCAGCCUGCAGGUAUUUCAAGAAAAGCCCCUGGUUGUCAUGAAAGCCCAGGGUGAGAACAUCCUUGGAGAAGGCAGCGCAGCCUGGGUCAAAUGUUCUGAAAACGGGCUUCAUAGGGCAGUCUUGCUCCCGAUGCUAGUCUGCCAAGCAGUCGGACAGAAAGUUUGGGCAAAUUCCGAGUCUUUAAGACUCAACAGGCUCCCUCUCUAAAACCAGAUUUAGGCCUUUGCAUUUUGGCAUUUAGUCAUAGCUGAAAGAAUGCUUAGUUGAAAGAGCGAUGAUUUUACAGAGUUUGGGAUUAGCUAGCAAACAGCUGGAACAAAACUGAUUUUGUCGAGUUUUUGAAUGGCUUAGAAACAAUUGGGCCUAAUUUUCUUCAAAAUUAACAUCAGUAAAAAUGAUUAAGUAAAACAAAACCCUCCUGGGCAAAAAAAAAUAAAAUGAAAUAAAAUAAAACAUGAAACUGGAAUUUGCUCAGCCUUCUAGUUCUUCUACCCUUGGUUGACAAAGACAUAAACUUGGGAGCACUGGCAGGGUUUUUAGCUUGUAAGAUUAUUACAAAAUUAGAAUUCCAAGUUUUGGAAUUGUUUGAAGAAGAGACUCUCUUGACAUUUCCAAUUUCUGCUAAGUAUUAAAAUAUAACUCUCAUAAAAAGAUUGUACGUCAUAGAAUUUCCAAGCUGGAAGGAAUCCUUGAGACUGUUUAGUUCUUUCCUCAAAGGUGGAAACAGACCCAGAGGGGCCAGUGGAGGCACUCACGUUUUGUGCUCCAGAGGCAGUCACGUGAGUGACAUAUGAACUGCCUGGUGCCCUCCCCUUUCGUGAAAGGGAUGUUUCCUUUCAGGACCCCUUAGUUUCAGAUUCCAUGUCAUGCUCCCGACAGCCACUGCACACAAAACCCAUGAAAACAGAAAUCAGAGAACCGGGGCCUGGGUUGCGGUGGUGCUGCCGGAAGCAUCUGUGAUGGGUGGAGUGUUAGGCACUGUUUUCUUUGAGUGUCAAAGUCCCUCCACACAAAUAGCAAGACGGAUUCCUCAGCCUUUAAUACAAAGAGAUACUUCUUUCUUUUCCCUCUCUCUCUCUCUCUCUCUUUUAACCAUGGAAGGGUGCAGCUACAACUUUCUGUGACUGAUUGGCUCUCUCCCACCUCCUUAUACAACAACUGUGUCCACACAGAGAGGGGUAUGGAUAUAAAUGAAAAUUUAAAAGGUACCAAGUGAGGAGGAAUUUUGCCAGGGACGAAUCGGGAAGUGUUGUCUGAGUGGUGAUUGUCUGGCCUGGCCCUUUGAAAAUACUUAGAGGUUACCUUGUUGCAAGCCAAGUUUUCUUUUUUUAAAAAAAAAAAAAAAAACUGCUUUAACUAUUUGAGGUAAAUGAUCAUCUUUGCCUCAACAGCCCCCAACACACACUGCUUGUGAUGAUGUCUCUUCAGGCUGCACGUUGUUCAGUUUCUACAAGCCGAGGAGAAAUUUAGCUUGUUGGUAGUUGGAAGACAGAUCUGCAGGGAGUAGAAUUAGUAAUCUGUAGCCAUACCCCCUUCCAGGCUGUUUUCAGCUACUUCUGGACCCAGGCCUGGGAAAAAAUUAUUUGAAUUCUCCUUGGAGACACUGUUAAAAUUUUAUUUUAUUAAUUAGUGUCCACUUAAAUUUAAGUCAAUAAAUACCCGGGGAAAUUAGUCUUGCUCUGAAAUCACACCAAUACAUAAUGAUGAUAAUAAAACAAUAUAGCAUUUAAUAAAUAUGAUGUUUACUGCCAAAAAGGGCUUACUACGUCUAUUGUCUUAUGUAUUGCUUUAUGUAUUCCUUCCAGAAUACUUCAUCUGUUGAAUUUUUCGAUGAGAACAUGGAGAUCUACUAUUUUUCUUAAUAUUCUGAUAAUGAUAAAAACAUGAAUAUUCCAAAGAACUUAUUAGGUACUCAUCACUGAUAAUACUAAAUGCUGAGCUUAUUUGAUUUAAAUUAGGAACAAAAGAAGUUUUUAUUUUUGAUGAACAUGAUCUGUCUGACAUUUUUCACUUUGUGUUCAAAGGGGAGUGGGCAAAGCCAUUUGGGCGUCAGAGUUCAGCUGGAUGAUACAUAUUCCACGUGUGGACUGGGUCAAGAUCAGAGAGCCUCUUCCCUUCCUGUGGCUUAGAAACCAAGUUGUUAAUAUAGUUAUUCUCUCUGGCAUUUAGAUCAUGAAUUUUGCACAGACCCACAUCAAGGAGAAGAGAGGCCCUUUGUAUGUUAGAUUUGCAGAAUGACUUCAGAUGUUUCGACUGGAUAGCUGCAGAACAGAAUGGGAAGACUACAAGACAUGAUCUCCCUUGCUGCCUUCCAGAACGCUGGACUCUGCUAUUAUCGGUUAUCUGUUGCAAUAUCAUGCUGUGAUCCUUAUCCAGUGAGGUCUGGUUUUAUUAUUCUUCUUAAGAUUUUGUGAGUGGUUGGUUGACUUGUUUUAUAUUUUGGGAAAACCAGUAAUGUCUCCUAAUAGAGUAUCUUCCUCCUCAAGUUGAAAGAAGGAUUUGUUGGGAAUGAUCUUUUUUGAAAAAUGGAUUUUUUUUCAUAUAUCGUUCUGCACAGAAAGGCUUGCUUGUAACUGCAUGUAAGAGUUUUCAGUUAGUCCCCUGCAAGCCCAUCUUCACUGUCUAUGGAGAACAUAAGAGAUGUCUUAAGACAUUUACUCUAAGGGGUCGCUGUGGCACCAGCACAUCCUUUGAGUAAGGAUGCUUAUCAGAGAACUACCCCUGAGAACCUGGAAAGCUGAGCUUUUGUCAGUUGUCUCCAUUGAGGUCUUGUGGACACAGUAUCUGCUUGACCCUGGGAGAAGAAGAUGGGGUGUGAUAAAGGGUGGUUUUUGUUCUAUUCACUGAUUUUCCUCAUCUCUUCUUUUAAAAAAAAAAGUUUUUAAAGUUAUUUAUUUGGAAGACAGACAGGCAGACACACACACAGGGAGGGAGAGAGAGAGAGAGAGAGAGAGAGAGAGAGAGAGAUUUUUCCAUUUGUUAUUUCACUGCCCAAAUGCCCGCAACAACCAGGGCUGGGCCAGGUUGAAGUCAGGAGCCUAGAACUGAAUCUAGGUCUCCUACAUCGGUGGCAGGGAUCCACGUACUUGAGCCAUCACCUGCUGCUUCCCAGCGUGUAUAGUAAGUAGCAGGAGCCUGAAAUCAGGACUUGAACCCAGGCACUCUGGUGUAGGAUGCAGGCAUCCAAAGUGGUGUCUUCUCUGGCCUCAGAGUCAGCCCUUAAAGCAUUCGGAUCUGGCUAAAAAGCCCAGGAGAGUAUUUCAAGCAUGGGAAGCCAAGACACUGUGGCAAAAAUGACCUAAAAAUGAAAGAUCUCUGUGAGUGAGAUCCCAAUGGAAAGAACGGACCAUCAAAGAAGGAGGUACCUUUCUCUGAAGGGAGGAGAGAACUUCCACUUUGACUAUGGCCUUGUCUAAGUAAGAUCAGAGUUGGCGAACUCAAGAGACUUCCACAGCCUUGGCAGCUCAUGACAAAAACCUCAGGUGAUUACUGACAUCAUAAAUAAGAGUGUCAAUUGUUAAAUCAACAACAGCAGUCACUGUGCACUUGCUCCCCAUGUGGGACCUCUGUCCUUAAUGAGUUGUGCUAUGAGAAUUAACGGUAAAACUAAUCUUCAAACAGUACUUUAUGUAUGUCUGUGUGAGUGUAAACUGUUGGAAUCUUUACUUAGUAUAGAGAUGAUCUUCUGUGUAUAAAGAUAAUUAUAAAAAUGCAUCUUAAUGAAGAAUGAGAUGGUAGAGGGAAUAGGAUGUGGGAUGGUUUAGAGGUGGGAGGGGAGGUAUGGGGGGAAGAAUCUCUAUAAUCCAAAAGUUGUACUUAUGAAAUUUAUAUUUAUUAAAUAAAAGCUUUCUAUAAAAAGUCAAAGAGGUGAAGUAGUGUCUUAAGAGCAAACAAAUCCUGUUCCUGAUCCAUCCAGGCGGCGAGCCACUUACCUCUAAUUUUUUCAGAGUCUCUCUGUUUCUCUCUCUCUGAGACUGAAUUAUUUAUUUUGAAAGUUAGAGUUACAGGAGACAGAGAAAGAGAGAGCUAGAGUGAGAGCAAAAGAGAGAGAGAGGGGGAGGGAGAGAGAGAGAGAGAGAAAGACAUCGAUCUUCCAUCCGUUGGUUCACUCUCUAGAUGGCCACAAUGGUCAGGGCUGGGCCAGGAUAAAGCCAGGGUCUAGGAGCUUCAUCUGGGACUUCCAUGUGAGUGCAGGGGCCCACGUUUGGGCCACCUUCUGCUGCUUUUUUGAGGCCAUUAACAGGGAAAUUGAUCAGAAGUGGAGUAGCCAGUACUCAAAACAGGCACUCAUGUGGGAUGUCAGCAUCACAGGUGGUGGCCUUAACUGCUACAUGAAAGAGCUGACGCCAGAGUCUUUUUUCUGGUAUGAAAUUGAGCUGUGUCUAGAGAUACUUCCAGAAGUCCGUAUCAGAUGUUUUAGGUUAAGUGGCUGGGGAGGUGAUGUGUGGGUAGAAUGUAUUUGUGUCAGCCAGUAUCAUCUUGAUUCUCUGGAAUGUUGACUUUUACCUGAAAUUCCAAUAUUAUACUUGCCUACAAUGUGCAGUGGUGAGAGCCAUCUUGAGACCAGUAUCAUCCAAAGCACACACACUUGUGCAUGGCUAAAGUUGUCAGCAACAGCUAAUGGUUAGGCUGAUAGAAAUGAUCCCCAAACAGGUCUCCAAGUCUGUGGUUGCAACAGUUGCAACAGAAUCCACCACCAACAUCAACCCAACAACAACCCAGUUGCACAGCACCACCUGUGGGAAAUCUGUGGAUGGGUGUUGCACUGUCCCCCAGCCCAGGGCAGGUUUCUGGAAACCUGAUAGUUUAUUUUCCACAACUUCUGAGUUAGAUGAGUAGAACAUGCUGAAUACUGGGAUGUGUGUGUCUUUUCUUUCUGUGAACUUACUGAUAACACUGUUUAGGCAUAGUCCUUAGACUCAGUUUCUGGGCUGAACAUGUUUCAAUUACUCUUCUUUUCAAAUUUAUUUUCUUAUUACUUAUCUGUGAAGUAUGGAAACAGAGAAAGAGAGAUGGUGACAGAGAAGGAAAAGAGAGAAUGUUCUCCCAUUUAAUAAUUCAUCCCCCCCAAUACCCACAACAGCCAAGACUGGACCAGGAAGAAGCUGGGAGAUAGGACUCAAUCGGGGCAUCUCACAUGAGUGACAGUGACGAAAUAUUUGAGCCAUCACUAUCUGCCUCCCAGGGUCUUCAUUAGCAGGAGCGUGGAGUCAUGAGCCAGAGCUGGCAUUUGAACCCAAGCACUAUAUGUGGGACACAAGUAUCUUACCUGCUGUCAUAACUACAAGGCCAAAUUCCCAACUCCUCAAGGACUCUUCUUAAUUGGGCAGGAGAAGAAAGCCCACAUUACCAAUGCAGAUAAUACACUUACUGGCUUCUUUCUCUUUAAGUCAAGUUUUUCCUAGAGCCAUUGCUACAGCUUUAGUGAGGCAUAGCAUUUGGUACUUUCCAAUACACUGGAGCUCUGAGUGGAUCGCUGAUGUAGCCUCUGUAUCUAGCACAGUGCUUUGCAUAGAGUAAGGUGUCUGCAAAUUUUGUCCAAUGAAUGAGUGCACAGAGAAUCUUUUCUCCUGCUCCUCUUGGAAGGAUGCCUAUCCUUGUUUCAGUUCAAAUGUCCCUUCUUUGUAGAAAUUGGCCCUGACCCCCUAAUGGAGAAUCACCAACAAUUGCUGGUUAUUCUCUUUCCUAGAAACCAGAUUUCCCUCAUUGAAAGUCUUUAUUCUAUUGGCUUAUUUGUCUUUUAAAUUUAAUGUGUGUCUCAUCUGUUUGACAGAAAGUUCUAUUAAGACAAGAGGCCCAUGUCUCUUCUGUUCCUCAUUCAUGCACAGUGCCUGCAGAGAAUGUUGCUUAAUAAAUAGCAGAUAUUUGUAAAUCCACAGUAGAUGACUGCAUGGGUGAGUGACUGGUGCAUACCCACCCGUAUAUCUGCAGGGACAGUUAUAUGCUAGCCCUCUGUCACCAUGGAGCAAGAAUUCCACAGAAUGGCCAUUAGCAAAUAGUAGGGACCGAGCAGCUAAAAAGGUGGUUUGGUUUUGUCAUAUAGUGAAGUUAGUUUCCAGGGUUAUCAGGUUUAGGAUAGAGAGCUUCUUUAUGGCAACAUAUUAUAAUAUGUUCUUAGAUUGGCCCUUGAUGCAAUUCUGGCUCUAAUAACAAACUAUGUGAUCUUGGGCAAAUUACAUAACCUUUCUGAACCUUUUUUCCUAAUAUGCAAAUUUGAGAUGCAAAUAGUACUUACUUCAUAUGGCUAUUUAGAAGAUUAAACAAGGUAAUGCAUGUAAAGUAUGUAGUUUCGUGCCUGGGCACAGAAUAAAGAAAAAGUACUCAAUAAAUUAUUAUUAAAUUAAUAAUACCAUUUGAAGUCCAUCAGUGGGCUAGCAGUGUCCCAGGACUCAAUUAGGUUGUAAUUAAAUAUAUUAAACAAUGUCUUAUGCUCAACUUCAGUGAAAGGAAUUAGUGCUUUGUCUUAAUGGCUAUAAAAUUCUACUUAGCUAAAUAAUGGAAUCAGAUAAAUUCUCUACAGUCAAAGCUGGAUUUAGUAAGAUCUGGAAGGUUAUACUACAAGGCACAUUGUCAUUGCAGAUUAAAACAUCUCUGCACCCCAAAUAUUACAGUUAUUUAAUAGGAUGCUGGAUGGUCUUUUAAAAUUUCUUGAACAAAAAGGAAAUUUAAACAAAUAAAAUAAGAAUUUAAACUACAUCUACAUCUAUAAGCUUACCAAAGUGCAAUAUAAUCAAUAUUCCAUAAAAAUGAUUUUUGAGCUUUUGUUGAAAGUAUAUUAUAAAUAUAUUACUAUUACUUUUUCCUUAUUUGAAAAUAAAUGCAAUCUUUAAAUAUAAUGUUUAAAAAUGUUUAGUCAUGUUGACAUGAUACAAUUAUGUGUAUAUAUAUAUGUAUAUAUAUCUGGCAAUUUAGAUAAUUUGCAGUGACAGGUAAGACCUAAAUUACAGGAACCAGAAACCCAAUUAUUUCAAAUUGAAUAAUCUUGCUAACCAGUGUCACUCAUUUCAAGGGAACAAAGGCAAUGGUUUUUUAAAAUACUUUACUUCUAUUAAUAGUUCUGUUAUAAUUUCCCACAAAUUGUAUCAGAGUUUUUCUAUACUACAUAGACUGUAAAAGCUGGACAUGUAUUUCUUCAUCAAAUUCAAGAAAAUGUAUAUUUUCUGCCUAACCCCUGACUAUCUGUUUAUAUGGGGAACAGUGGAGACUCUUACUCCAUAAUAGCCUACAAUUUUCUCAUCACUCUUUAACUUGGGCAAAAAAAAAAAAAAAAAAAAAAAAAAAAAACAAA